rnacentral:rRNA from 1 species
AUAUCAAUAAGCGGAGGAAAAGAAACUAACAAGGAUUCCCCUAGUAACUGCGAGUGAAGCGGGAAAAGCUCAAAUUUAAAAUCUGUCAGCCUUGGCUGUCCGAGUUGUAAUCUAGAGAAGCGUUAUCCGCGCUGGACCGUGUACAAGUCUCCUGGAAUGGAGCGUCAUAGAGGGUGAGAAUCCCGUCUUUGACACGGACUGCCAGGGCUUUGUGAUGCGCUCUCAAAGAGUCGAGUUGUUUGGGAAUGCAGCUCAAAAUGGGUGGUAAAUUCCAUCUAAAGCUAAAUAUUGGCGAGAGACCGAUAGCGAACAAGUACCGUGAGGGAAAGAUGAAAAGAACUUUGGAAAGAGAGUUAAACAGUACGUGAAAUUGCUGAAAGGGAAACGCUUGAAGUCAGUCGCGUUGUCCAGGGAUCAACCUUGCUUUUGCUUGGUGUACUUUCUGGUUGACGGGUCAGCAUCAAUUUUGACUAUUGGAAAAAGGUCAGGGGAAUGUGGCAUCUUCGGAUGUGUUAUAGCCCUUGGUUGCAUACAAUGGUUGGGAUUGAGGAACUCAGCACGCCGCAAGGCCGGGUUUUUAACCACGUACGUGCUUAGGAUGCUGGCAUAAUGGCUUUAAUCGACCCGUCUUGAAACACGGACCAAGGAGUCUAACAUGCCUGCGAGUGUUUGGGUGGAAAACCCGAGCGCGUAAUGAAAGUGAAAGUUGAGAUCCCUGUCGUGGGGAGCAUCGACGCCCGGACCAGACCUUUUGUGACGGUUCCGCGGUAGAGCAUGUAUGUUGGGACCCGAAAGAUGGUGAACUAUGCCUGAAUAGGGUGAAGCCAGAGGAAACUCUGGUGGAGGCUCGUAGCGAUUCUGACGUGCAAAUCGAUCGUCAAAUUUGGGUAUAGGGGCGAAAGACUAAUCGAACCAUCUAGUAGCUGGUUCCUGC